ACUGCUCUGCAGCCUCAGCUGGAUCUCUGUCUCAGUGUCUGAGUCUCAGACUGUGAAGGCUCAGUCUGGUCGAGAAGUCACACUGCUGUGCCCAAAGACAAUCAAAGAUCCAGCUGUGACGUUCUGGCUCAGAGUGGUCAACAGGAUCAAUAUGAGCUGUAUCUCAGUUAUGUCCCGGUCUGACAGUAAAGCUGAAUACUGUGAUGGAUAUAAAACUGGAAAUUUUGAAAUGAGCUCCAACAGCUCUACUGUCUUUCUCAAAAUCAAACGAGUGAAUGUAUCUGACUCUGGACAGUAUUUCUGUGGAUUUUACACAGAUGGACGUAUAACUUUCACUGAGAUUCAGUAUUUAAAUCUUACCUCCAGUAAGAUUAUUGUAAAAUCUUUUCUGUCUUUUCAUUCCCAUUGUUCUGUCAUGUCUUUUUCUGCUUAUAUGAUAAAUAGAUUUUGACAGCAGGUAAGAAAUGGUUAUGAUGUACGUCUGCCAAAAUAAACUCAAGCCUAAAAAUAUCUUCAUUUCUUUACAAGGCAAUGAUGAGCCACAUGAUGUCGAGGACAGCAAAUGUAAAGAAGAGAGUGGUGUGAUAAAGCUGACAUGUGUGAUCCUGCGUGGUCUGAGUGUUCUCCUUGUAAUGGUCAACACUGGUCUGCUUGUUCGAACCAGUAAACUUUAGACAGCUGAUAAAGAAGAACAGAAUCCACAGCAAAGUGAGACUCGUGUCUCUGAUGAUGUGAACUACGCAGCUGUGACUUUUCAAACAAAAACCAAGAGAAGAGAGCUGGAGCCAAAUGUUGUUUAUGCUGCCACCAGAUAGACUCAGGAGGCAACUGGAACUGAUGCUGCAUCAUAUUACACAUUAUACAUUAUAUUAUGCUCUGGGCUUUGUACGGCUUGUUGGUGACAGGAAUAACUACUCUUAAAAUAAUAUAUGGAAGUUUGCAAUAAAGAGCUGAUGUUGAGCAACUUCGAGUGUCUUUCUUCUGCAGGGAUUCAUUUUCUUUCUCUCAGUCUAAGUCUGAUUGGUGUCUGAUGGAGGGGUAAGGACACCUUCUUAUAGUGGGAGUUAGAUGUGGGUCUGCAUCAGAGACACAGGUGGAAACUCAUGUUAUUUAUACUGCCAGCAGAUAGACUCAGGACACAAGUGGAACUGCAACCAGGAGUUUCAUCAUAUUAAUCUGCUAUUUUGCUUUUCUGUGUGUGUGGUGGCAAAAAUAGUUUUUGUAAUCAAGUUCCUGUAUAAAUGGAGAGUCAACAUUUCCUGGUCAAAGUCUCUGUCUUUCUUAGUUUGUCUACAUCACAUCUUCAUCUGAGAGGGACAAGGACAUAUUUUAUGUUUGAUGAGGAGGAGCCACAAGAGACACUGAUAACUGUCAAACUGACUCAUAGGCAGAGUCAAUGGUCUGUGGGGGAGGGAGGGGUGAGAGAGAUACACAUCUCUUCAUCUGAGCAGCUCAGUGUGGUCUGAGCUCUUGUUCUUGGAUCAGCCUCUGUACUUGUAUAGAUUAAAAAAAGACAGUGAAGAAAAAAACUAACAUUCUUGGUGACAAACACUGAACGAGUCUAAAAAUAAAGUUCACCACAGGAAGACUUCAGCCAUGAUCACAAACAUCACAUGAUUCGCUGUUUUCAAAGACUAAGAGUAAAACUACUUUUACAAAUUGCAUAUACAGUGCAUCUGCUUUGAACAAACUUACCAAACUACUAUAAUUUGGUAAGUUUGAGCUAGAUUCUAUAUUAACAUGAGGAGUUUCAUGUUAACAUGAGGAGUUUUGUCCCACAUCUCAACAAUGUGUUUGGGAAAGGCAAAUUAUGGCUGUUUACCUUAUUAUGUUUUCUUCCUGUUAAAGCUACAGCUAAUAUCCAGGUUAAUAAACAGAACAUCAUACAGGAGGAAUUAAGAUCACUUUGUCUAAACAUCAGUAUUAAGGUAAAUCUAUUAUUUUCUUGAUAGUGUUUACUUUUGAUUCUCACACAUCUUUCUCUUGCUCUCAGUGUCUGUUCAUAUGCUGUUUGUUUGCUGUUUGGUCUGAGGACGACAGAGGUGAAAAUCCUGAAGCCUGUUUCCAUGAGACUGUACUUCUCUCUGGUUUGACUGAAUGACUUUUUGAAAUGUAAGAGUUGUCUGUCUUGUAUGCUGACAUGGUGAAUGUGUGUAUGAAAUAGAUAAAGGUAUAGCUCUC